CAUAGGUUUGGUCCUGGCCUUUCUAUUAGUUAUUAGUGAACUUACACAUGCGAGAAUCCCCAUUCCUGUGAAAAUGCCCUCUAAUCAUUAUUUGAUAUAAAGGAGCUGGUAUCAAGCACACUAAAAAGUAGCUCACAACACCUUGCUCAGCCACACCCCCACGGGAAACAGCAGUGAUAAAAAUUAAGCAAUAAAUGAAAGUUUGACUAAGUUACACUUCUAAGGACUGGUAAAUUUCGUGCCAGCCACCGCGGUCAUACGAUUGGGCCAAACUAAUAGACAAUCGGCGUAAAGUGUGUUUUAGAAUUUAACCUACCAAUAAAGUCAAACUUUAAUCAAGCUGUAAAAAGCCCUUAUUACUGUAAGAUAACUAACAAAAGUAACUUUAAAAUUUCUGACUACACAAUAGCUAAGACCCAAACUGGGAUUAGAUACCCCACUAUGCUUAGCCCUAAACAUAAAAAAUUAUAAACAAAAUUAUUCGCCAGAGUACUACCAGCAAAAGCUAGAAACUCAAAGGACUUGGCGGUGCCCUAUAUCCUUCUAGAGGAGCCUGUUCCAUAAUCGAUAAACCCCGAUAUACCUUACCAACCUUCGCCAAAUCAGCCUAUAUACCGCCAUCUUCAGCAAACCCUAAAAAGGAAAGACAGUAAGCAUAAAUAUCAACAUAAAAACGUUAGGUCAAGGUGUAGCCUAUAGGUUGGAGAGAAAUGGGCUACAUUUCCUAAAUUUGGAUAUUACGAAAACUCAUGUGAAAACAUCAGUUAAAGGUGGAUUUAGCAGUAAAUUAAGAAUAGAGUGCUUAAUUGAAUAAGGCCAUGGGGCACGCACACACCGCCCGUCACCCUCCUCAAACAACAAGUAUCAAUCAUUCCAUAAAACCCUGGAUAUUAUCUGUAAGAGGAGAUAAGUCGUAACAAGGUAAGUGUACUGGAAAGUGCACUUGGAUAACG
rnacentral:ncRNA from 1 species